GAUGAACGCUGGCGGCGUGCCUAAUACAUGCAAGUCGAGCGAACAGACGAGGAGCUUGCUCCUCUGACGUUAGCGGCGGACGGGUGAGUAACACGUGGAUAACCUACCUAUAAGACUGGGAUAACUUCGGGAAACCGGAGCUAAUACCGGAUAAUAUAUUGAACCGCAUGGUUCAAUAGUGAAAGACGGUUUUGCUGUCACUUAUAGAUGGAUCCGCGCCGCAUUAGCUAGUUGGUAAGGUAACGGCUUACCAAGGCAACGAUGCGUAGCCGACCUGAGAGGGUGAUCGGCCACACUGGAACUGAGACACGGUCCAGACUCCUACGGGAGGCAGCAGUAGGGAAUCUUCCGCAAUGGGCGAAAGCCUGACGGAGCAACGCCGCGUGAGUGAUGAAGGUCUUCGGAUCGUAAAACUCUGUUAUUAGGGAAGAGCAAAUGUGUAAGUAACUAUGCACGUCUUGACGGUACCUAAGCAGAAAGCCACGGCUAACUACGUG
rnacentral:rRNA from 1 species